GCGAAAGUGGCGGAACUGGCAGACGCACUGGACUUAGGAUCCAGCGCCUUUGUGCGUGGGGGUUCAAAUCCCCCCUUUCGCACCA
rnacentral:tRNA from 1 species